AGCUGUGGGAGCACAGGUGAAGGCAAUUCACCUGUGUGACCUGAAGAGGUGGAGCCUGGCUGCACCUCUCCUAGACCCCAUUUAAGGGCUGACUGCCACUGAGGAAGGAUCUCUUUCUGGAGAUUCCUUCCUUUGGAGUUUCUCUGCAAGUCUACAACACUGGUGGAAUUUCCUGAGGCAACUUGUACCCAUUGCUACUUGUCCUGUCAUCAUGCACCCAUGUGAGGAGAGUACAUCCAGCUUCCCUAGAGCUACUCUUUCAGAAAGCCUACAGACUCUGCAUCCAGAAUGUUGUAGAUGGGAAAAACUAUUUGAAGAACAUGAUGACUCUCAUCUUGUA
ensembl:lncRNA